ACGGGGUGGAGCAGGCGCGAGAACUUUACAAUGCGAGAAAUCGUGAUAAGGGAACCCCGAGUGCCCGUAAAUUCGGGCUGUCCGUCAGUGUAAAUAACUGGCGAAGAAAGGGCCGGGCAAGACCGGUGCCAGCCGCCGCGGUAAUACCGGCGGCUCGAGUGGUGGCCGCUAUUACUGGGCUUAAAGCGUCCGUAGCUGGGUUGUUAAGUCUCCUGGGAAAUCCACCGGCUCAACCGAUGGGCGUUCAGGAGAUACUGGCAACCUAGGGACCGGGAGAGGUGAGAGGUACUCCAGGGGUAGGAGUGAAAUCCUGUAAUCCUUGGGGGACCACCUGUGGCGAAGGCGUCUCACCAGAACGGCUCCGACAGUGAGGGACGAAAGCUGGGGGAGCAAACCGGAUUAGAUACCCGGGUAGUCCCAGCUGUAAACGAUGCGCGUUAGGUGUAUCGGUGACCACGAGUCACCGAGGUGCCGAAGAGAAAUCGUGAAACGUGCCGCCUGGGAAGUACGGUCGCAAGGCUGAAACUUAAAGGAAUUGGCGGGGGAGGCAC
rnacentral:rRNA from 1 species